UGACAGAUUUUCACAUUUCUUUAUUUAGUUAACUAUUAAAUAAGUAAAACAUUACAUUACAUUUAACCCAGCUUCUUUAUGUAACGUUAUGUCUGUGUUGCGUGUGGUAAUUGGAACAUCUUUAUUUUCUGACUAACGUUAGGCAUUUCUCUUAAGCAUUUCAGAAAUCAUUAAAACCUUUCAUUUUUUUUAGCACAGCGACAUAAAUAUGACCAACCAGAUCCCAAGUAGACAGGAACAAAUGAAGAUAUAGCGCAUAGAAAGACUUAUUCUUGGUGAUCAACUGCUAUUGACAUUUUUGAAUCGGGGCAAAUGUGGAGUGAAGAAAAACGUUUGCAACACAUCCAUUCCAGAGUGCUCUGACAGAUAAAACUGACACGCUUGAUGAGGACACAGUCAAAGCUUUAAAAGACCGUGUGAUAAAGCAGUCUUCAAUUACUACGGUGUCUGAAUUGCAAGAAGAAGUUACCCUCCACUUAAACAUGUGACAUCUAAACUGUUUUGUGUUUUAGUUCAGCUUUUUAUAGGUUUAUCUUAAGUUGGUUAAAGGCGGAGUGCACUAUUUUUGAAAGCCAAUGUUAACAUUUGAAAUUACCUAAACAAACAUGCCUCUACCCCAAUAGAAUCUGGACCUUCUUUUGAUAGAGCCACCACACACAUACGCAACCCCGGCAAGGAUGUCGGUUAGUAGACACGCCCCUUACUGCUGGUUGGCUAUAAGUGUGUUUUGGUAGUCGGCCCAAUUUCCUUUUCCAAAGCGUUUUUCAAACAUUGUGCACUCCGUCUUUAAAUUGCACUUAAACAUUUUUUUUUUCAUUAACUUUUUAUGCAGAGAAUUACAUUAUGAUUAUUAUAUAAUCAUUGCUUAUGAAUAUUCAGUGAUUGCAUAUUCAUAGUGUACUUUUCAUUAAUACAUUUAAUGUUAAUGUUGUACAAUUUGAUAGAAGUA